CCUACGGGAGGCAGCAGUGAGGAAUAUUGGUCAAUGGACGAGAGUCUGAACCAGCCAAGUAGCGUGAAGGAUGACUGCCCUAUGGGUUGUAAACUUCUUUUAUAUGGGAAUAAAAUGUUCCACGUGUGGGAUUUUGUAUGUACCAUAUGAAUAAGGAUCGGCUAACUCCGUGCCAGCAGCCGCGGUAAUACGGAGGAUCCGAGCGUUAUCCGGAUUUAUUGGGUUUAAGGGGAGCGUAGGUGGAUUGUUAAGUCAGUUGUGAAAGUUUGCGGCUCAACCGUAAAAUUGCAGUUGAAACUGGCAGUCUUGAGUACAGUAGAGGUGGGCGGAAUGCGUGGUGUAGCGGUGAAAUGCUUAGAUAUCACGAAGAACUCCGAUUGCGAAGGCAGUUCACUGGACUGCAACUGACACUGAGGCUCGAAAGUGUGGGUAUCAAACAGGAUUAGAUACCCGAGUAGUC
rnacentral:rRNA from 1 species